AUUUGGCUCCACUGAAUCAUGGCCACACCUGUCACCUGGACUCUUGGAAACUAACUCUUGGGUCCUCUUGGUAAAUGUCUAGGUUAGGGUUUCCUCUUGAAUUCUUGCUUGGAAACUAACUCUUGGGUCCUCUUGGUAAAUGUCUAGGUCAGGAUUUCCUCUUGAAUUCUCGCUUGGAAACUAACUCUUGGGUCCUCUUGGUAAGUGUCAAGGUCAGGUUUUCCUCUUGAAUUCUCGCUUCCACAAG